rnacentral:misc_RNA from 1 species
GAUGAAGAACGUAGCAAAAUGCGAUACUUGGUGUGAAUUGCAGAAUCCCGUGAACCAUCGAGUUUUUGAACGCAAGUUGCGCCCGAAGCCUUUUGGCCGAGGGCACGUCUGCCUGGGCGUCACGCAUCGCGUCGCCCCCCACAAUUCUCCGUAAAGGGAACGUGUGUUUUGGGGGCGGAUAUUGGUCUCCCGUGCUCAUGGCGUGGUUGGCCGAAAUAGGAGUCCUUUCGAUGGACGCACGAACUAGUGGUGGUCGUAAAAACCCUCGUAUUUUGUUUCGUGCUGUUGCUCGCAAGGUAAACUCUUUAAAAACCCCAAUGUGUCGUCUCUUGACGACGCUUCGACCGCGACCCCAGGUCAGGCGGGACUACCCGCUGAGUUUAAGCAUAUCAAUAAGCGGAGGA